GACGAACGCUGGCGGCGUGCUUAACACAUGCGAGUCGAACGGAAAGGCCCUUCGGGGUACUCGAGUGGCGAACGGGUGAGUAACACGUGGGUGAUCUGCCCUGCACUUUGGGAUAAGCCUGGGAAACUGGGUCUAAUACCGGAUAGGACCACGGCAUUCAUGUGCUGUGGUGGAAAGCUUUUGCGGUGUGGGAUGGGCCCGCGGCCUAUCAGCUUGUUGGUGGGGUAAUGGCCUACCAAGGCGACGACGGGUAGCCGGCCUGAGAGGGUGACCGGCCACACUGGGACUGAGAUACGGCCCAGACUCCUACGGGAGGCAGCAGUGGGGAAUAUUGCACAAUGGGCGCAAGCCUGAUGCAGCGACGCCGCGUGAGGGAUGACGGCCUUCGGGUUGUAAACCUCUUUCGCCAGGGACGAAGCGCAAGUGACGGUACCUGGAGAAGAAGGACCGGCCAACUACGUG
rnacentral:rRNA from 1 species